rnacentral:rRNA from 1 species
UACGGAGGGUGCAAGCGUUAUCCGGAUUCACUGGGUUUAAAGGGUGCGUAGGUGGGCAGUUAAGUCAGUGGUGAAAUCUCCGGGCUUAACCCGGAAACUGCCAUUGAUACUAUCUGUCUUGAAUACUCUGGAGGUAAGCGGAAUAUGUCAUGUAGCGGUGAAAUGCUUAGAUAUGACAUAGAACACCGAUUGCGAAGGCAGCUUACUACGGAGUCAUUGACACUGAGGCACGAAAGCGUGGGGAUCAAACAGGAUUAGAAACCCUAGUAGUCC